ensembl:snRNA
GUAUUGAAAGAAAGGGGGAAAACAAGCACUCCCCUUGACAAGGAUGGAAGAGGCCCUCCGGCCUACACAACACUUAUAUGGUUAAGGCAUUGUCACCAAUUUCGUGGCAUUUAGCCUUUUUUUUUU